GACGAACGCUGGCGGCGUGCUUAACACAUGCAAGUCGAACGGUAAGGCUCCAGGUUGCUGGGGUACACGAGUGGCGAACGGGGGAGUAACACGUGGGUGACCUGCCCUGCACUUCGGGAUAAGCCUGGGAAACUGGGGCUAAUACCGGAUAGGACCAUGGGGUGGGUAUUGUGGUGGAAAGUUUUUUCGGUGUGGGAUGGGUUCGCGGCCUAUCAGCUUGUUGGUGGGGUAAUGGCCUACCAAGGCGGCGACGGGUAGCCGGCCUGAGAGGGUGGACGGCCACAUUGGGACUGAGACACGGCCCAGACUCCUACGGGAGGCAGCAGUGGGGAAUAUUGCACAAUGGGCGGAAGCCUGAUGCAGCGACGCCGCGUGGGGGAUGACGGCCUUCGGGUUGUAAACUCCUUUCACCAUCGACGAAGGGUUUCUGACGGUAGAUGGAGAAGAAGCACCGGCUAACUACGUG
rnacentral:rRNA from 1 species